rnacentral:rRNA from 14 species
GAAGCGAAAGCGAGUCUGAAUAGGGCGCUAUAGUUAGUAGUGGUAGACGCGAAACCGUGUGAUCUACCCAUGGGCAGGGUGAAGCUGUGGUAACACACAGUGGAGGCCCGAACCGAUAUACGUUGAAAAGUGUUCGGAUGACCUGUGGGUAGGGGUGAAAGGCCAAUCAAACUCGGAAAUAGCUCGUACUCCCCGAAAUGCAUUUAGGUGCAGCGUAUUAUUAGUUUUAUAGAGGUAGAGCUACUGAUUGGAUGCGGGGGCUUCACCGCCUACCAAUUCCUGACAAACUCCGAAUGCUAUAAAAUGAUGUAAUGCAGUGAGGGCAUGGGUGCUAAGGUCCAUGUCCGAGAGGGAAAGAACCCGGACCAUCAGCUAAGGUCCCCAAAUAUAUACUAAGUUGAAUAAACGAGGUUUGACUGCCUAGACAGCUAGGAUGUUGGCUUGGAAGCAGCCAUUCAUUUAAAGAGUGCGUAACAGCUCACUAGUCGAGCGGUCGAGCAUGGAUAAUAAUCGGGCAUAAGUAUAUUACCGAAGCUAUGGACUUCUAAUAGGAGUGGUAGGGGAGCAUUCUAUUUGCGCAGAAUGUGGUCUGUAAGGACUGCUGGAGCGGAUAGAAAAGAAAAUGUAGGCAUAAGUAACGAUAAUGCGGGCGAGAAACCCGCACACCGAAAGACUAAGGUUUCCUCAGCUAUGCUAAUCAGCUGAGGGUUAGUCGGGACCUAACGCGAACCCGAAAGGGGUAGUGGAUGGACAACAGAUUAAUAUUUCUGUACCUGCUCACACUAAAAGUGACGGAGGCGAAAAGUUAGUGCGCACUGACGGAAUAGUGCGUUGAAGGGAGUGGUAACACCCCGAUAGUACAGUAAGGCUACGGCCGCGCUGAUAAUCUAGCAAAUCGACUUCCAAGAAAACCGAGUGAAGCAGCCCGUACCGUAAACCGACACAGGUAGUUGGGAUGAGAAUUCUAAGGUGCUCGAGAGAUUCAUGGCUAAGGAACUAGGCAAAAUAGACCUGUAACUUCGGGAGAAAGGUCGCCCAUCUUCGGAUGGGCCGCAGUGAAAAGGUCCAGGCGACUGUUUAUCAAAAACAUAGGGCUUUGCUAAAUUGAAAGAUGAUGUAUAAGGCCUGACACCUGCCCGGUGCUGGAAGGUUAAGAGGAGGGUUUAGCUUCGGCGAAGAUCUGAAUUGAAGCCCCAGUAAACGGCGGCCGUAACAAUAA